rnacentral:snoRNA from 1 species
UGCCACUGUAGUCAUGUUGCAAGUGUGGCCAGUGUGUUACAAGCAUGACAGUAGGUGACAGAGAGGACAAAAGCUGUGUCUAUGCUCAGUGUUCUGACCAACAUCUGAAUGAUUAGUAGCCUAACAAU